rnacentral:rRNA from 1 species
UACGGGGGGGGCAAGCGUUGUUCGGAAUUACUGGGCGUAAAGGGCUCGUAGGCGGCCAACUAAGUCAGACGUGAAAUCCCUCGGCUUAACCGGGGAACUGCAUCUGAUACUGGAUGGCUUGAGUUCGGGAGAGGGAUGCGGAAUUCCAGGUGUAGCGGUGAAAUGCGUAGAUAUCGGAAGGAACAUCAGUGGCGAAGGCGACUUCCUGGACCAAUACUGGCGCUCAGGUGCGAAAGCGUGGGGAGCAAACAGG